AUUGAACGCUGGCGGCAGGCCUAACACAUGCAAGUCGAACGAGUGGCGGACGGGUGCGUAAUGUCUGGGAAACUGCCCGAUGGAGGGGGAUAACUACUGGAAACGGUAGCUAAUACCGCAUACCAUCGGAUGUGCCCAGAGGGGAUUAGCUAGUAGGUGGGGUAAAGGCUCACCUAGGCGACGACCCCUAGCUGGUCUGAGCGGAGGACCAGCCAAUCUGUAACUGAGACACGGUCCAGACUCCUACGGGAGGAAGCAGUGGGGAAUAUUGCACAAUUGGCGAAAGCCUGAAGCAGCCAGGCCGCGUGUAUGAAGAAGGCCUUCGGGUUGUAAAGUACUUUCAGCGAGGAGGCGUUACUCGCAGAAGAAGCACCGGCUAACUCCGUGCCAGCAGCCGCGGUAAUU
rnacentral:rRNA from 1 species